AUUGAACGCUGGCGGCAGGCCUAACACAUGCAAGUCGAGCGGAUGAAGGGAGCUUGCUCCUGGAUUCAGCGGCGGACGGGUGAGUAAUGCCUAGGAAUCUGCCUGGUAGUGGGGGAUAACGUCCGGAAACGGGCGCUAAUACCGCAUACGUCCUGAGGGAGAAAGUGGGGGAUCUUUGGACCUCACGCUAUCAGAUGAGCCUAGGUCGGAUUAGCUAGUUGGUGGGGUAAAGGCCUACCAAGGCGACGAUCCGUAACUGGUCUGAGAGGAUGAUCAGUCACACUGGAACUUAGACACGGUCCAGACUCCUACGGGAGGCAGCAGUGGGGAAUAUUGGACAAUGGGCGAAAGCCUGAUCCAGCCAUGCCGCGUGUGUGAAGAAGGUCUUCGGAUUGUAAAGCACUUUAAGUUGGGAGGAAGGGCAGUAAGUUAAUACCUUGCUGUUUUGACGUUACCAACAGAAUAAGCACCGGCUAACUUCGUG
rnacentral:rRNA from 1 species